rnacentral:rRNA from 1 species
GAUGAACGCUGGCGGCGUGCCUAAUACAUGCAAGUCGAGCGAACAGACGAGGAGCUUGCUCCUCUGACGUUAGCGGCGGACGGGUGAGUAACACGUGGAUAACCUACCUAUAAGACUGGGAUAACUUCGGGAAACCGGAGCUAAUAACGGAUAAUAUAUUGAACCGCAUGGUUCAAUAGUGAAAGACGGUUUUGCUGUCACUUAUAGAUGGAUCCGCGCCGCAUUAGCUAGUUGGUAAGGUAACGGCUUACCAAGGCGACGAUGCGUAGCCGACCUGAGAGGGUGAUCGGCCACACUGGAACUGAGACACGGUCCAGACUCCUACGGGAGGCAGCAGUAGGGAAUCUUCCGAAAUGGGCGAAAGCCUGACGGAGCAACGCCGCGUGAGUGAUGAAGGUCUUCGGAUCGUAAAACUCUGUUAUUAGGGAAGAACAAAUGUGUAAGUAACUAUGCACGUCUUGACGGUUCCUAAUCAGAAAGCCACGGCUAACUACGUG